CCCUCUUUCAUCUUAGUAUUAUUGAUUACCAGUUCAGUUAACUUCACAUUAUUGUAGGGAGCAAGUUUUGUGAUUUCACCUCUACCACCCCAUUUAUUUUGUAUUACAUUGUUUAUUUGUAAAACGGAUGAGGUCAAAAUGAUUAUCUAAAAGGGAGACCACAACAGCAAUUUGGUAAGAGAUUUAUUGUUUUUCUUAGAAGGGAGAGUAUUCAUGCUCUCUAUUGUCACAUCUAGUGAUUAACUAGUGAACACUCAGCUACUCUCAUUCAAUUGGAUAGCCACUCUUACCAAGUGAUAUUUCUUAUAUCAUCUUCUCCGUCAAACAAAACAUUCCUCACUCGUUUAAGUGAGGAUGUAAAGAGAACAAGACAGGAAAUAUGUUGGGCAUGUUACUAUUCAAGGAUCUUUCCAUCAUCCAAUCUUUCAUCCAUAUCAAUCAGCGGCUACAAAAAUUUAGCAUUUUUGAGUUCAAGCAGAAAUGGCUAAAUAGUUUGACAGGAAGAGUAGCCGUAGUCAAUCAUAUUUGAGUCUAUUCACAGAUAAAAAAAGUAUCUUCUCAAUUGGGAUAAGUGUGGACUAGUUCAUCUUGACUUGGAACCAAAAUUUGUAAUGACAAUAUCAACACAAAAUUGUUUGACUCACCUAAGCCGCAGUAAUAACAACCGUAUCCAACCCGCCCAUUUAAAAGACGUAUUAAUCUAUCUAUAUCUAUAUCUAUGCUAUCUAUUUAUAUCCAUAUCUAUACUACUUUAAAAUAUCAACUUAAAAAACUUAAAGUGAAAUUACUACAUUAUCCCAACUUAAAAACCCAACCCUUGAACAUGGCCCUAAUAUUACAUAAGAAUUCUACUAUGUGGAUAUGUGAAUAGACGCCGCUUCAAAUCUCUCAACUUACAUAGACACCAACCUGAACAGAUGCAACUAUACGCUUUUCUCUGUUUAAGAGACACCAAGCAGAUGACAAUUUUCCUUCAAAUCUCCAACUUCGUCUGAAACAAAUAGGUAGAAAUGACACAACAAGGAAGCCCCUUUUAAUGGGCCAUUUGCGAGAAUGUUGAUUGAUCUGAAAAAUGGGUUGUGAUGCUGAUUUUCUUUGCAUUGAGAGGAUCUGACCCGUAACUUGGCUGGGUGACUCGGCAUGGCAUCAUCUGUAAACCAGUAUCUAUUAAUCGGUAUCUACAGCCAUGGCGAUGUCGCUUUCUUUUUACAUGUUAGAACAACAAAACCUGAGCCCUAAAAUGUACGACAACUAUUUAAUGAUCAGAUCUCGGGAAUUGAAUUACCCAAUUAUGUUCAGUUUUUUUUGAAA